rnacentral:lncRNA from 1 species
AGUUUUCGUACUACGCGCGCAAAGCUUCCCGGGAUAGCGUCAUUUAUUCACACCGCCAUUACGCCAUAUUUUUCAAGCCUUCAUUCUGAAUUUAUGGGUUCGAAAAAUUCGCUUUUUUUAAGCGACGACGAAUGAUUUGAACGAAGAGGAAACAGCGAGCAUGACUGAAUAACAUUCAGGUAAGCAUAUUGUUAUGUUAUAUGUAUAAUGGAGCAGUUUUGAAAGUAAAUAUUCGCUAUCUUCAUUCAUGAAUUUUGAGCAUGUGUUCAUGUUUAAAAUUUGAAUUUGCCGCGACAAUAUUUGAAUUAAAAAGAUGAUAUAUUAGUUUUAUAGAAGGCUUACAUUUGACUUUAUAUUAAAUUAUGUUUAUUGUAUAAAGGGCAACUAAUAUUUGUGUAUAUGAAUAUAUGACAGACUACCAGAUAACAAUGUUUCUGGUAUAAAGUAUAAAUAUAGCUUGGCAUCUACUCAAUCAUCAUAUGCUCAACUACACAUGUCCCAGCUAAACAUGGUUUGAGAAAAGACUUGUUUCAAAUCAACUGCUACUUUCAUAAGUUUCUAAUUUUUAUAUAUCUAGGUUUUUUAUGUCCAAAUUCUUCAAUCAAUGAAAAAAUCUAUUUCACUGUUAGAGGUGUUAUGCACCAGUCAAUAAAAACCUAUACAACUCAUCCCCCCCCCCCUUUGUCUUUUAAUUAAGCUGUGGAGCUUCCCCAUUAACAAGUAAAAUUGUCUGGCAUAAGACAAGUAAAAAAAUAGGUAAGGCACACUGGGGCGCAUUGUGGCUUGAUGGGUUUACCAGAGACAUUGUCAAAUUUUUUGGUCAACCCAUUAAGCUGCAGAGUUUCCCCAUUGACGAGCAAAAUCGUUUGGCGUUAGACAAGUGAAAAAAAAGUAGAGCGCACUGGGGCGCGUUGUGGCUCAAUGGGUUAAUAUAUCAGAGAACAAUAUUUAAAAACAUUGUCUUUAUAGCUUAAGUCAACAACAAAACGUCGUUAAUUAAUCAAAGUGCAUUAUUACUAUGUGUUUAUUUUCCUGUUUAUGACUGACUUGUUUAUUAUACUAACACAAAAGAUUGAAUGUCCAUGUAUAAGCUCUAUCCCUCCUAUAUACUGUAACCCCCCCCUUUGUAUAAGCCCACCAAAUAUAUAGCCCAGGGUUUAUAGUCCGAGAUUUACGGUAUUCCAUGAACCCAUUAAGAUGUGAUGUUGUGAUGGAUUAACAGACUGUGUGUGCAUGUCUCAGUUACCAUUAGCACUUACAUACCCUAAUUUAACCCAUUAAGCUGCAGAGCUUCCCCGCUUUUUCCCCGUUUCCUAGGAUACAAGGCCUCAUCAUGAUUUAUGAAUAAGGUCUAUAGUACUCUGAUUUUCCAUUUAACAUACGAGCCUCUAGUCCUGGGAUAGGGUACAUUUUGAUUUACGUUGGACAAAGCUUCAGUUCGGUCGGACACCAAUACACUCAGGUCGGACAAACAAUAAACCUCAAUUUCACUUUGGUCGGACAGAAUUUCUGGUGGUUUCCUCUCUACGUCGGACAAUUUCACUAAUGGGUCGGACAAUGUCCAUGACCGUCCGAUAUUUUAAGGCCUGCAUAGCUGGAUUAACCCUAACCCGUAGUUAAAAUUUAUGUAUUUCUACAUACAGUAUCUUUUUGUUUUAAAAUUAUGAAAAGAAAACUCCUAUGGUACUGAUCCAGACAAGAUGUCUAAAGAAAUAUUUCCAAAUUUAUAAACAAACUGUCAAGAAGUUUGCUUAAUCUAAGGUUAACUUAUCGGCUUUCGAACAAUCAACCCCUGCAUGGUGAUUUUGUUUGUCAAUGGGGAGUGUGUUGGACUUAAAAGGUUUUAACCUUUCAUUGAAGCUAGAUUGUCUGCCCGCAUUUUGUGUUAACACAUUAUUAAGAUACAAGCCAGACUGCUUUCAGUACUUCAUGAUUUUACUAACAUCAGAGGGUCACAUUUCAUAUUUAACCCUUUUAGAUGCAAAGGACAUUUUAGUCAUCCAGAGGGGGAGGGAGUCUAAGAGUAGAAUCUUCUGAGACUGAUAAUAGUAAGAUGUACUAAGACAUCAAUGGAAUGGGGGGGGGGGUUAAAUUCCAAGUUUCUUUGUAUGUCAUGCUUGAAGUUUUCAAGGAUGGAUAGAUCGGCUUAGAUAAAAAUGUCAAUUUGAUGUUUUGUGUGGCAACUUGAAUAUGGACAUCUCCCUAAUUGGAAGCCGUUAAAGUCCUUUGUUUGUUUGUUCAAACUCAUGAAUACAUUUAGCUAGCUACACCACCCACAUGAUCUGCUUAGUAAAACCCAAUUCACUCCAAUUAACCCAGUUUUCAGCACUUUCUUAAAUUAUGUCACCUUUCCUAAUGCCGGACAAGUUAAUUUGUGUGUAGCUAGAUUUUGCCCAUGUUUCAUGUUGACAUAUUUAGAUGCAAUUUUCCCUAACACUCCCUACUUUAAGUACUUUAAUAUUGAACUGUGACGUCUCAUGCUAGACAAUUUUACUUAUCGACUGCAUGGACUCAUUUCACCUAUUAACACCGAAGAAACAAUUUCCUUUUAAAUGUUACCUACUUUCGGUUCUUUCUAGGGGUGUGCAGGACAGUAUUUCUGCUAUCCAGCCAGAUACAGGAUAUGCUGGAUGGCUGAAAAAUAUCCAGCCCGAUUAAGGGUAUUAUUCAAAUAAUUAUAUAAGGUUCAGGCAUCAUUUAAGGUUAAGUACUGGUAAUAAUUUUAUUUGGUUAAAAAGUAAACAGUCUAAAACUAGUAAACCUCCAUCAUUGGUAGCAAAAGCCUCGUUUACAUCAGUUAAAAGUUCAAAUCCCCAUUUACUGUACAAACAAGCAUUGAAAAUACUGAUCAUAUUUAUCAUAUUUUUACUUCAAUGAUCAUGAUAUGAUAACCUUAUCAAAUCAUUUUCUAACCUGAAAAGAAGGCCUGAACCCUAUAUGAAUAAUAUCCGGCAUUGGGUAGCCGGAUACCAGAUAAUGAAUUAAAAUCUUAAUAUCCGGCCAGAUACAGUAUCAGUCCAUUGCAUCCUAUGUCUUGAAAUGCCAAACAAAUUAACUUUUUAAAUGACUGUAUGUUGAUAUUCAAUAUACUUAGCUAAUAUAUGCACCCUUUUAUUGUUAACCCUUUGAGCAGCAAUGUGCCCAAGUGCACCCUACUUUGUUAUGUUGCACUUAACUAACACCAGACAUUUUACUUUGUGAAAUGCCAGACAAUUUUACUCCUCAAGAGCAGUGUCCUGCUCACCCAUUAGGCCGAAAUGCACCCAAAUGGACCCGCCUUUGUUAUUUUACUCUGUCAAACGCCAGACAAUUUUAGUCAUCAAGAAGAGAGUCCUGCGUGCUAGUGGGUUAAAUGACUUAAUUACAUAUGUUAUAUAUAAACUUAAGCUUUUAGAUUGUUAGGGAUGCACCGGAACCGGUUUUUUAAGUUCCGGCCGGAACCGGAUCCGACCGGAACUGGAAAAAAGUUCCGGCCGGAACCGGAAUUAAUUUAUUAAGCCAUAUAUAAUUAUAUGUUACUUUGUCCGCUGCCAGACAAGCAGACACUUCAAAUCAUUAAGUAGAGAGUUCGCAAAUAUCAGAAUAAAAAGACUGACAAACGUUAAACGUCAUAAUGAAGUGUUAAUAGUGUACAUUUCCCUUGCGUAGUCCAACUUUCUUCCUACUGUGACCUUUUGUUAGACACAAAAACGUUUGAUAUUCUAUCUCCCUGAAAACGACAGAGUUCCGGUUCCGGCAAUGCUUUUUUCACAAGUUCCGGCCGGAACCGGAACUCUAAAAAAUCGGGGUUCCGGCCGGAACUAACCGGCCGGAACCGAGUUCCGGUGCACCUCUAUAGAUUGUCCCAUUGUAUAUUAAUUUUUUACUUAUCUUGACACAGGCUUGUAUGUUGGAUUGAUACGACUACCUCUAAAUAUGGUUAAACUUGGCUAUGUGAUUCAAAGGUUGUGGUUCACCGAGCGAUAAAGAAAAUGAUACAAAGAUGGAAUGAUUGGAUGCAAGUUAUUUACAGUGUUUCAUAUGACAGGUAUUCUGAUUGUGGAAGAUGUGGGCUUGCAAUAUUUUGACAAUUGCAUGGCUAUAAAGUACGAGACAAUUAAUAUAGUACUCCAUUACUCUAAUUGCCAGAACACUGCAUCAGAAUGAGAAGUUGUCUGUUACAGUUCGGUUUAGUAAAAGUACAUAGUAAAAGUACAUAGUCAACUAUGUAAAAUGUAAUUUAGUCAGUGUCAAAUAAAUAUUUUGUGAUGGA